GGGCGAAUGGUUUAGUGGUAUAAUACUCCCUUAGCAAGUUCCGUCCAAGUUACAGAUCGUCGCAUCUGGGAGUGGUCCAGGGUUCGAUUCCCUGUUCGUCCA
rfam:Fusarium oxysporum f. sp. cubense race 1 unplaced genomic scaffold scaffold69, whole genome shotgun sequence.